rnacentral:rRNA from 1 species
UAAUGAAUUUAUAAUACUGAAAUUUUGUUUGUUAAUCAUAAUUAAUUUAAGAAGUAUUUGGCGGUAUUAGGUUAAAUUCUGAGGAACUUGUUUAUUUAAAUUGAUAUUACCCGUUAAAUUUCACUUAUAAUUAUUUUUAUAUAUUGCUGUUUAAUUUAUUAUUUGUUAUUUUUAAUAAAUUUAAAUAUUAAUUUAGAUGUUAAUAAAGUGUUCAAGUCAAAAUGUAGAUAUUUAUAAGGAUAAAUGAGUUACGUUUAUAUUGUAAUAUGAAGCUUUAAAUUUUAAAUGAAAUUAUUGUAGUUUAAUGUUGGAUUAGGGAGUAAAAAGAAAAUAGUUAGUUUUUUUGAUAUUUUUUAUCGAUAUGU